rnacentral:rRNA from 1 species
ACGUGAAAUCCCGUCGGAAUCUGGGAGGACCAUCUCCCAACCCUAAAUACUCCCUAGUGACCGAUAGUGAACCAGUACCGUGAGGGAAAGGUGAAAAGCACCCCGGGAGGGGAGUGAAAUAGAACCUGAAACCGUGUGCCUACAACAAGUUCGAGCCCGUUAAUGGGUGAGAGCGUGCCUUUUGUAGAAUGAACCGGCGAGUUACGUUAUGAUGCGAGGUUAAGUUGAAGAGACGGAGCCGUAGGGAAACCGAGUCUGAAUAGGGCGCCUUAGUAUCAUGACGUAGACCCGAAACCAUGUGACCUACCCAUGAGCAGGUUGAAGGUGCGGUAAGACGCACUGGAGGACCGAACCAGGGCACGUUGAAAAGUGCUUGGAUGACUUGUGGGUAGCGGAGAAAUUCCAAACGAACUUGGAGAUAGCUGGUUCUCUCCGAAAUAGCUUUAGGGCUAGCGUCGACAUUAGAGAUUCUUGGAGGUAGAGCACUGUUUGGGUGAGGGGUCCAUCCCGGAUUACCAAUCUCAGAUAAACUCCGAAUGCCAAUGAAUUAUGGUCGGCAGUCAGACUGCGAGUGCUAAGAUCCGUAGUCGAAAGGGAAACAGCCCAGACCACCAGCUAAGGUCCCAAAAUAAUUGUUAAGUGGAAAAGGAUGUGGGGUUGCACAGACAACUAGGAUGUUAGCUUAGAAGCAGCUAUUCAUUCAAAGAGUGCGUAAUAGCUCACUAGUCGAGUGACCCUGCGCCGAAAAUGUACCGGGGCUAAAACAAUUUACCGAAGCUGUGGAUACCUUUAUAGGUAUGGUAGGAGAGCGUUCUAUGUGUGAUGAAGGUAUACCGUGAGGAGUGCUGGAACGCAUAGAAGUGAGAAUGCCGGUAUGAGUAGCGAAAGACAGGUGAGAAUCCUGUCCACCGUAAGACUAAGGUUUCCAGGGGAAGGCUCGUCCGCCCUGGGUUAGUCGGGACCUAAGGAGAGACCGAAAGGUGUAUCCGAUGGACAACAGGUUGAUAUUCCUGUACUAGAGUAUGUAGUGAUGGAGGGACGCAGUAGGCUAACUAAAGCAGACGAUUGGAAGAGUCUGUCUAAGCAGUGAGGUGUGAAUUGAGUCAAAUGCUUAAUUCUAUAACAUUGAGCUGUGAUGGGGAGCGAAGUUUAGUAGCGAAGUUAGUGACGUCACACUGCCAAGAAAAGCUUCUAGCGUUUAAACAUACUCUACCCGUACCGCAAACCGACACAGGUAGUCGAGGCGAGUAGCCUCAGGUGAGCGAGAGAACUCUCGUUAAGGAACUCGGCAAAAUGACCCCGUAACUUCGGGAGAAGGGGUGCUGACUUAAAGUCAGCCGCAGUGAAUAGGCCCAAGCAACUGUUUAUCAAAAACACAGCUCUCUGCUAAAUCGUAAGAUGAUGUAUAGGGGGUGACGCCUGCCCGGUGCUGGAAGGUUAAGAGGAGUGCUUAGCGUAAGCGAAGGUAUGAAUUGAAGCCCCAGUAAACGGCGGCCGUAACUAUAACGGUCCUAAGGUAGCGAAAUUCCUUGUCGGGUAAGUUCCGACCCGCACGAAAGGCGUAAUGAUUUGGGCACUGUCUCAACGAGAGACUCGGUGAAAUUUUAGUACCUGUGAAGAUGCAGGUUACCCGCGACAGGACGGAAAGACCCCAUGGAGCUUUACUGCAGUUUGAUAUUGAGUGUCUGUACCACAUGUACAGGAUAGGUAGGAGUCUAAGAGAUCGGGACGCCAGUUUCGAAGGAGACGCUGUUGGGAUACUACCCUUGUGUUAUGGCCACUCUAACCCAGAUAGGUGAUCCCUAUCGGAGACAGUGUCUGACGGGCAGUUUGACUGGGGCGGUCGCCUCCUAAAAGGUAACGGAGGCGCCCAAAGGUUCCCUCAGAAUGGUUGGAAAUCAUUCGCAGAGUGUAAAGGUAUAAGGGAGCUUGACUGCGAGAGCUACAACUCGAGCAGGGACGAAAGUCGGGCUUAGUGAUCCGGUGGUUCCGUAUGGAAGGGCCAUCGCUCAACGGAUAAAAGCUACCCUGGGGAUAACAGGCUUAUCUCCCCCAAGAGUUCACAUCGACGGGGAGGUUUGGCACCUCGAUGUCGGCUCGUCGCAUCCUGGGGCUGUAGUCGGUCCCAAGGGUUGGGCUGUUCGCCCAUUAAAGCGGCACGCGAGCUGGGUUCAGAACGUCGUGAGACAGUUCGGUCCCUAUCCGUCGCGGGCGUAGGAAAUUUGAGAGGAUCUGCUCCUAGUACGAGAGGACCAGAGUGGACUUACCGCUGGUGUACCAGUUGUCUUGCCAAAGGCAUCGCUGGGUAGCUAUGUAGGGAAGGGAUAAACGCUGAAAGCAUCUAAGUGUGAAACCCACCUCAAGAUGAGAUUUCCCAUGAUUAUAUAUCAGUAAGAGCCCUGAGAGAUGAUCAGGUAGAUAGGUUAGAAGUGGAAGUGUGGCGACACAUGUAGCGGACUAAUACUAAUAGCUCGAGGACUUAUCCAA